rnacentral:rRNA from 1 species
AACAAUACAAGGCAGUUAAAAUGCUUUGUAAUUGGAAUGAUAGAAAUUUAAACCCUUUUUAAAGUAUCAAUUGGAGGGCAAGUCUGGUGCCAGCAGCCGCGGUAAUUCCAGCUCCAAUAGCGUAUAUUAAAAUUGUUGCAGUUAAAAAGCUCGUAGUUGAAGUUCUGCUGAAAGUAACCGGUCUGCUUUUAAUAAAAGUGGUAUCUUGGUAUGUAUUUAGCAAUGAUGUCCUUUGAAGUGUUUUUUACUUUAUUGUAAUAAAGCAUAUUCAGGACUUUUACUUUGAGAAAAUUAGAGUGUUUCUAGCAGGCUGACGCUUUGAAUACUGCAGCAUGGAAUAAUAAGAUAGGAUUUUAGUUCUACAUUAUUGGUUUUAAGAGCUAAAUUAAUGAUUGAUAGGGACAGUUGGGGGCAUUUGUAUUUAACUGUCAGAGGUGAAAUUCUUAGAUUUGUUAAAGACAAACUACUGCGAAAGCAUUUGCCAAAGAUGUUUUCAUUAAUCAAGAACGAAAGUUAGGGGAUCGAAGACGAUCAGAUACCGUCGUAGUCUUAACUAUAAACUAUGCCGACUAGAGAUUGGAGGUCGUCUUUAUAAAC